rnacentral:rRNA from 1 species
GGCUAAAGCGUCCGUAGCUGGCCCUGCAAGUCCGUCGGGAAAUCCACUCGCCUAACGAGUGGGCGUCCGGCGGAAACUACAGGGCUUGGGACCGGAAGACUUGAGGGGUACGUCUGGGGUAGGAGUGAAAUCCUGUAAUCCUGGACGGACCGCCGAUAGCGAAAGCACCUCAAGACGACGGAUCCGACAGUGAGGGACGAAAGCUAGGGUCUCGAAC